CCUAUGGUUAAUUAGGGCAAACUAUUUAAACUCUUAUUCCGGGAUUUGAAACUUGUUAUAAAUUUCAAAAAUAUUAUUGUGUUUUUUUUUAGGAUUAAGGCAGGGCUCUUCGGGUAUUAAAAUCUGCUGAUGUAAUCCUAUCUGAAGAUACAAGGCAUUCUUGGAAAUUACUUCACCGUUAUAAUAUCCGUAUUCCACUGAUUUGCAGCUGAGUUAUCAUAAAUUUAAUGAGUCUCAAAGAGAACAGACGGUGUUAAGGAGGAUGAAACAGGGCGAGGUUGUGGUGCUGCUGAUCGCGACGCAGGGACACCUGGCAUUGGGGGUCCUGAUGCAGAAUUGCUGUGCAUGGAUGAAAAUAUUCCGGUUACCCCAAUUCCGGGACCUUGUGGUGUUGUUUCCGCGCUUUCCGCUUCAGGCUUGGCUACUAAUGAGUUUACAUUCGGUAAUUUUGAUGUAAUUUUUUAUGCUCAUAUUGUGUGUUGAUAUAUUUCUGAUGUUUUGCUAGCAGCAAUAAGAUCGUCAGAAACUGAUUAUACGAAGUAUUGUGUUAGUUGGAUUUCUUCCUAGGCAUGGUCCAUCCAGGAAAGAGAGGCUGAUGGCUUCUGCAAAUGAAGCAAGAACACAAAUAUUCUAUGUUCUUCCACACAAGUUUUCUCAGUUUCUCAAAGAAUUUUCAUCGCUUUUUGGUGUGUCGAGGUAUAUAUGGCAUAUCCUCAUUGUAUAGCACUGUUGAUUUUACACAUCUUUGCUGUACUGUGCAGUUCUUUCUUAAGUUCUUGAGGAUAUGCAAGCUCUUACUAGUUCUAGGGCAACACUAAAAAAUGUAUUGGUUUUAUGUUGUAGGCUAUUCCAGUUAGAUGUGUAUAAUUCAGAUUAAGCAAAUUUCUGUGUGCUAGACUUUCUUUAUAUUAGUUCCAACCCUUUUCAAUGCAGUGGUCCAAGUGAUUGAAAUUAAACCCUGCUAUGAGUUCACUUUAUGGGGAUGAUGAGACUUAUUGAUAUUCUGACCUCUGACCUUCACGGAUCAAAUUAAUUCCAUUUAUUUGUUAAAUAGAUAAAGAUAACGUUAUCAAAAACAAUAAAUGGAAGAUGUGAACUGGAAUGACAGGCUACAUGAUUCAAAGUAUAUGAAAUCUGACAAGAACCGGAAAAUGAUCAAGAAGAUUUAUCUAUACUUUUAGAUUCCAUUUUUAAAACCUAUGGGACGAUUUGGAGAAACCCACCUAUAGUGAGUAUCAGGAGAGUGAUGGUGCGGUAAGAUAAAUGAUUUCUUAGUAUUGGUUAUUGCAGUAAAUGUAAUUGCAUUUCAGGGGGAUGUGUCAUGGCUCGAGAAAUGACAAAAACACAUGAAGACGCAGGUUUUUGUUCAUUACUUUUUACACAGUUUAUCCUGUUCAUAUAGUGUUUAAGAGUUUGGAUAAUGAUGCUGAUUGUGGAAGUUUGAACUAAGUUGUGUAAUUUCCCCCAAUUGCCAUGAAUAAUAAAUAUCAGGCCUCGGAAGAUGAUGAUGCCUUAUUAGUUACUUAUCAGUUGAAUUCCAAUUUUUGUGUCCUCCUUGUUCACUGAUCAAGAUGAGUGUGCCUAAUCAGUUUUGGUGGGGCACUCUGGUGGAGGCAAAAGAAUCAACAACCUAAGGAGGAGAUGACACUGCUAAUUGAAGGCAGGACAAACUGUUCGGUUGAGACUCCGUCAGAAGUUCAGCUUGAGCAUGAAUUGAGAGAAUUGAUCUCCUGUGGGCAUACUCUAUCUACGGUGAUGGCCUAUUUGAUCAGAGAUGCAAUGCAUCAGUGUUGCAUAAAUUCAUUCCCCACACAAAUGCUUCUGAAGUUGACAACGUGGAAUCCAGUUAGCUUUGAUGUCUUAAAACUUGAUGAGCUACUGAAUUGUGACUGGUUUUUAUUGGGACAAAAUAUUGUUGCAAGCUAGUAGCAGCAAAAGCAAGACAUGUUUAAUGUCGAAUCGGUGGCUGAAGGAACGACUGUGAAGACAGAAAACAAUAUAUUCGCUGGCAUUGAAGAAAUUUGGAAAGCAACUUGAAGCUGAUGAUAAUUAAUUUAGUUCAUGUAACUUGCAUUGAAGGAAUUUUUUCAUCGCCUUAUUCGUUUUUUGAGUAGAGAUGCCAGUUCUAAUCCACUUCUGCAUUCUCCCCUUGCUUCCAGAAGUCAGCAAGUGUACAAUUAUUAAAGCAAAUCGAAGAAAAUGUUUUUUCCUCUAAGAAGUUGAGAGCGGGCAAGGUGAACCACCCAGAGGUUACUGCCAGCAUGCUAUUAAGGUCCCAGGGCAAGUCCUUUUUAGCCGAGAGGAAUGAGGAAGCGGUGAACGAGAACUUAAACAUGAAGGCGCUCCCUCCAUAUUGGCCAACUUUUGAGCGAGAUUUCUUACUUAUAUCGGGUUUUUGUCCACCUGCUAGCCUGUCUUGUAUCAUGGAAUCGCUUUCAUUGUUUACUAGGCUUCGUUUUGGUGGGAGAUGGUAUGCCUUUUAUGGGUUCACUACCAGCAUGUUUUUUUUUUGUACACUUCAUUGUAUAAAACUUGACC